CGCGUGGGAACCUGCCUUUAGGUUCGGAAUAACUCAGAGAAAUUUGAGCUAAUACCGGAUAAUGUCUUCGGACCAAAGAUUUAUCGCCUUUAGAUGGGCCCGCGUUAGAUUAGAUAGUUGGUGGGGUAACGGCCUACCAAGUCGACGAUCUAUAGCUGGUCUGAGAGGAUGAUCAGCCACACUGGGACUGAGACACGGCCCAGACUCCUACGGGAGGCAGCAGUGGGGAAUAUUGGACAAUGGGCGAAAGCCUGAUCCAGCAAUGCCGCGUGAGUGAUGAAGGCCUUAGGGUUGUAAAGC
rnacentral:rRNA from 1 species